CGCAAAGUCCACACAGCCUUGAACACCCAACCUCUUUUUAUCUUGACAGCUAAGCAGGGUCAAGGCCUGGCUUAGUACUUAGAUGGGAGACUGGAAAAUAAGAAGCUGAGGAGCCUAGCGA
rnacentral:rRNA from 14 species